GCAUAGCUCAGUUGGUAGAACAUGAGACUCACAAUCUUAGUGAUGUGAGUUCAAGCCCCAUGUUGGACA